rnacentral:rRNA from 1 species
GACAGAGGAUGCAAGCGUUAUCCGGAAUGAUUGGGCGUAAAGCGUCUGUAGGUGGCUUUUUAAGUCCGCCGUCAAAUCCCAGGGCUCAACCCUGGACAGGCGGUGGAAACUACCAAGCUGGAGUACGGUAGGGGCAGAGGGAAUUCCCGGUGUAGCGGUGAAAUGCGCAGAUAUCGGGAGGAACACCGGUGGCGAAAGCACUCUGCUGGGCCGACACUGACACUGAGAGACGAAAGCUAGGGGAGCGAAUGGG